UACGUAGGGUGCAAGCGUUGUCCGGAAUUAUUGGGCGUAAAGAGCUCGUAGGCGGUUUGUUGCGUCGGCUGUGAAAUCCCGAGGCUCAACCUCGGGUCUGCAGUCGAUACGAGCAAACUAGAGUGUUGCAGGGGAGACUGGAAUUCCUGGUGUAGCGGUGAAAUGCGCAGAUAUCAGGAGGAACACCGGUGGCGAAGGCGGGUCUCUGGGCCGUAACUGACGCUGAGGCGCGAAAGCCAGGGGAGCGAACGGG
rnacentral:rRNA from 1 species